rnacentral:rRNA from 1 species
UACGGGGGGGGCAAGCGUUGUUCGGAAUUACUGGGCGGAAAGGGCUCGUAGGUGGCCAACUAAGUCAGACGUGAAAUCCCUCGGCUUAACCGGGGAACUGCGUCUGAUACUGGAUGGCUUGAGUUUGGGAGAGGGAUGCGGAAUUCCAGGUGUAGCGGUGAAAUGCGUAGAUAUCUGGAGGAACACCGGUGGCGAAGGCGGCAUCCUGGACCAACACUGACACUGAUGAGCGAAAGCCAGGGGAGCAAACGGG